GAACGCUAGCUACAGGCUUAACACAUGCAAGUCGAGGGGCAGCAUGAUUCUAGCUUGCUAGAAUUGAUGGCGACCGGCGCACGGGUGCGUAACACGUAUCCAAUCUACCCAUGGCUCGGGAAUAGCCUUUCGAAAGAAAGAUUAAUGCCCGAUGGUCUGUGAUUGAGACAUCUCGAACACAGUAAAGAUUUAUCGGCGAUGGAUGAGGAUGCGUCCGAUUAGCUGGUUGGCGGGGCAACGGCCCACCAAGGCGACGAUCGGUAGGGGUUCUGAGAGGAAGGUCCCCCACACUGGAACUGAGACACGGUCCAGACUCCUACGGGAGGCAGCAGUGAGGAAUAUUGGUCAAUGGUCGAGAGACUGAACCAGCCAAGUAGCGUGAGGGACGACGGCCCUACGGGUUGUAAACCUCUUUUGUUGGGGAAUAAAGUCACCCACGUGUGGGUGUUUGUAUGUACCUUACGAAUAAGCAUCGGCUAAUUCCGUGCC
rnacentral:rRNA from 1 species